rnacentral:rRNA from 1 species
AACUCUGAGCGGUGGAUCACUCGGCUCGUGCGUCGAUGAAGAGCGCGCAGCCAACUGCGUGAAUUAGUGUGAAUUGCAGGAUAUCUUGAACAUCGACAUCUUGAACGCAUAUUGCGGCCUCAGGUCUCCCCUGUGGCCACGCCUGGCCGAGGGUCG